AGCAAACAGCGGAUGUGUAGUUCCUCUCCUCGCCGAACCCGGUUUUCCAUUUCUGCAGAGCAGCGCGACCGAUUCCCGGUUUCCCCGCCGCAACCACCGUUACCCCCCCAUCCCGGGCGACUCCAGCGACGUCACCGGUUCAGGUCCUGACCUUUCGGCGAACCGCGGAACCGCAGACGACCUGUUCGACGUCAUCACUCCCCGCCCGGAUGUCGCUGACAUCACCCAGCACGUGCCUGCGCUGGCACCGCGUCGUCCUGGCAAGCGCCUCCCCGCCGCGGAAGGAGAUCCUGGGGUUCGCCGUGCCCGGGCGAGACGUGUCGGCGGGGUUUCACGUGAGUGACACUUGGUCCCCACGGGACUGACAGUGACUAGCGUUGUGGCAUGGUGACCUCAGUGACUCUGUCCCUGACUCUGCCCCUUGUGAUGACCCCACCACUGACCCGCAGGCCUUGGAGGGGCUGAUCCUGGAGAAGCCAAAGGACCAGGAGGACACCAUGGGGGUGCUGCUCAGGCUGAGUGGGAAACAGAGCAGUACAGCUUCAUCAUGAGGGUAGCCAUUGUCAUCUGGGGCAUCCACGGGGGAGGAGCUGAUCCAUGACUACUUGGACACCAGCUAAGGAUGGUGAGGCCCCGUCCCCUGCCCCACGUGACAUUGCCCACGCCCCGUCUGAGAGUCUACCAAGUGGUUCUGGGAUGAUGGAUUGAGGGGAUGGGGGCUGCAUACAUUUGCAUGAGUUUGUAUAUUUUGGGCUCAUUUGAAUAAAUUUGUAUAAAUUAACACC
rnacentral:lncRNA from 1 species